AUGCUGGUGCUUCAAAACUAUUUUAUGGACAAGAUUUCCCCGCCCAUCGCCUCAGUUCUUCAUCUUUAUGCUACUGGAUUACACUUCAGUAGGCAGCAAAUGGAAAGCGAAGAUCAGCCCUCUAUGUCAGUGGAUUUUCUCAUGAAUGAAAAGGACCUACAAACUUUGAACAAUGCACUGGGCACACUAGAACGGAUUUUCUGUGUCACUGAUGGCAAAUCCAGUAAACAUGAUAAUUUGGGUAAAUAUUCAAGUACACUAACUGAUGCCAGGCAUCCCAAUAAGAAACACAGUUAUAGUUGUUCUCAGUCACGUGAGCAUAUUAAUUUUUUGGCAUAUUUGGAUUCUUUGGAGUUUGUUUGCAAGAUACUAUUGCAGCCUGCAAAUGCAGUUUGGGAGAGCUUCUUCAAAGAAAAAACAGUCCCCACUUCGGGGAAAAUGACAUGUGUCUUAAUGGCACUGAAUCAGUUUAUUGAUUCCAGCCUUUUUGCUUAUAGUUGUACCAAAAUGUCUGACAAAGAGAAGGAGAGAUUAAAUAAAACCUUACUGAGGGCCCUAGUGUCAGCAAUCAAAAUUUCCUUUGUGACCAAAGAGGCUAUCCAGAAGAGCUUGUAUUCUAUCAAUUGUGCCAUUUCAAGUACAUGGAUAAAGCUUGAGGAUUUCAAAUAUUUGAUCCCUUCAAUUGGCAACAUCGGCGUGACACUUUAUAAUAUUGGACAUUUUGAAGAGGCACCAAAGGCAUUAGAACUAUGCUGCCAAGCAACAUGGGCACAGAUCAGACUUUCUUACUGUAGACUAUCAACAAGAACGGAAGGUCACAUCAUAAUUGAGGAUCUAUCGAAGGAUACACUGAAGGAUAUCAUUACAGAUGCAUUUGCUAGGAUAGACAAGAUGGUUGACACUCUCCAUAGAUGUGGCUCAAAAGUGAUACGAGAUAUUGUUGUGAAGAGCUUGUCUGAAUUGUUGGCCCAUGCUGACACAUCAGAUUAUCACAAAAGCUAUUCGGUUCUGAUCAAGUCGUGGGUGAAGAUAACACUUAAGGAUUUUGCGAAUGACCAAAAUAUGGAUAGUGCCCCACUUCUAUAUCACUCUCUUAUGGGCUACCCAUCUCCCUUGCCAAAGAAGUUGAUAGGCUCAAUCUUAGAGCAGGAAUUAUUAACAUAUGUAGAAAUGGAAUCUCGUGCCACCAUGCUCUGCGGAAAUAUGCAAAUAAGAAUAAUAGAUAUUCUCUUGAAUGAACUUUAUUGUUCAAAAGAGUACUAUCUGGACAGAUCAAAAGUUUUAGUUAGAAAGGCACGUGCACUCCGUUCAUCUGGGGUGCAAAACAUAAGCAGGUGUCUUGAGUCCUUAUCUGAAGCCAUAUCUUUACUGCGAAGCAUCUUACUGGAUUCAUCUCAAGGGAAUGCGAUCGUGAUGCAUGAAUUAGCUAUUGCAUACUGCUUGCAUGCACAUUGUGCGCAGGAAGCCAAUCGUGGCGGCAAGGUAAUCUUUGAUAAUGCUAGGAGUGCCGUUGGCUUGUGGUCAAAGUUGGGUACUUCUCAUCAUUCUUCUCCUGGUGUGAUCUUUCAACAGCCAUCAGAAACUCUUGUACCACUUCUUUGUUCUCUUGUUGAUUUGUUGGCCAUGAAGGGUCACUUUGAGCUUCAGUUUGAGCUGUGCAAGCUUAUCAUAACGAUGUGGAAGCAAGAAAAUUUACCCAUAGAAAAGUUAUUAUCCAUGUUAUUUAUCAACCGGCGCCUUAAUCAUGCGUGCUGUCAUCUCCCAGUGGACCAGAAAUUUGUUUCUUAUGUGGCAGAACACCUUGGUGUUGAUUGCCGCAAUACAUUGUUUUGGAGAAACUGUUUCAAAGGAGAUUAUCCUUCUCUUUCUAUGUUUCUUCAGCAGUUGUUGCCUGUUGAGUUCUUUUCUCAACCAUGUGAAUAUUCCCUUGGAAAUCAGUUUGGUUUCAAUGCUAGUGUUGAUGGGAUUGUUAAAGUUGCAUCAUCUCUGGUUUCUGAAGUUCCUUCGAAUAAUCAAUCAACCUAUCUGGCUGGUUGGCUGUAUUAUGAUUUGUCAGAAAGACUUCUGUCAAGAGGACAACUUCUCCAGGCCAUUUCAUAUGGAAGAGAAGCCCUCCAAUUGCGCAAGAAGCUCCUAAAAAAGAAGUUCAAAUUUAAUUUGGGCAAGUUUGUAAGCAAGGAAAGCGAAUGUUCUGAUGGGCAAGGCUUUGUUUCACUUGAAGCAUGGGGACCAACAAUGGCUGAAAUUUGGCCAGAUUGCACCAGGCCAAGCAGCAUGAGAGAUUCUUUCCUUACCCCAUGGAAUGUACUUAAAUGUUACCUUGAAAGCAUAUUACAGGUUGCUCUGAUGCAUGAGUUGAUUGGUGAUGGCGCCGAAGCAGAAGUUGUAUUACGGACAGGAAAGGAGAUAUCAUGUUUCCAAGGAUUGCCAAUUUUUGCUGUUGUUUUUACAUCAGCGUUAGGUCAACUAUACUGCAAGAGACAGCUGUGGGAUGCUGCAGAGGGUGAGCUUAAACAUGCUAGGGAUCUCCUUAAAGAAAAUGGUGAAUUCAUUUCAUGUGAGACAUGCAGGUUGACUCUAGAGAUAUCAGUUGAUGUGCAAGCUGGGGAUCUGUUUUGGAAUCAAUUUGACAAAGAUUUGCAAAAACAUUCAACAUGUAAUUUGUCUCGUGCUUUAUGCAUGUACCGAUCUGCCAUGGAGAAAUUGAAUGACACCAGUUUGGAAUUUUCUGCUGGGUCCUGUGGUAAACUUAAUACGAGUUGCAUUUUGGGCAACAAAGACUGUAUUGCAGAAACCAAGCGUGGAGCUUGUAAUCGUGGGAAAAAACCCUUAGCAGCCAAGGAUGGAGUGUUACCUCCAUGUACUCCUUGUUUGUUGUUCAGUCAAGCACCUAUUGACCAGCACAAUGAACUUGUGGGAUUAAAAUCUGAAAGGGAAAACAUGAAGAAUGCCGAAAGUGCCCCACCAUUGGAUGUUAACGUUAAGAAGACAUCCAGAACUUCAUCACGUUUAGCCAAAGAACAGAAUGCGGCAGCUCAUGCAAAGACUAGAACCACCCGAUCCAGCAAGCGAACUGCACAUGUGAAAAGUGAAAAAGAUCUAGCUGAACUGAAUAGUGAGAAUGACAUAUCUGGGAGCUACAAAUUGUCCACAGAUGCUUUGGUCUGUGGGAAGCUAAGCUGCUCUCUUGAUGGUGUUUACUGCAGCAGAGAUGACAUAUGCAAUAUGUUUGGGUGUUGGAAUUGCCUUUUUGUUAAUUCACUCAAUUCCGAGUCCAUUGAGAAUAUAUUGCAGUUCAGAAAAGACUGCAUCCGCCGACGCCAUCUUGUGUCUCUUCUGUUAAAAACAGCAAGAGCCUUGGGAGCUCAGGGUGGAAAGCAUGGAGCUCAUGAAGUUCAUAGUAUCUACUGGCAGUGUAUAUCAUUGUUGUAUUUCAGAUCUCUUCCUCAAGGUUGUUAUAGAACCUAUGAGUCUCAUUUAAUUGGACUAAUCAUGAAUGAAAAUACUGGUGAUUUUCUUUCUUUAGAGCGUGCGGAAAUACUAUGUAGUAUGAGUUUCUUUUUGCUGAAGGGUUUCCUUUCAGAACAGUCAAGGGAUAGUUGCUGCAGCUUCUCUAGUGUACAAACGGCUGAUAUCGUUUCUUGGUUGCUGAAAGCUUUUGUGUUAUCUGGAGAGAGUCCUUCACUUCUUCAGGAGGUUUGCAGGCUACUCACAUGCAUAUUCUUACUCUCAACGAUAGAUUCCACGGUUCAAUUACCUUUGUAUUCCAAGGGAUCUCUCUCUUUGAAUCAUUGGGCUGCUUACUUUCAUCAAGCUUCUGUUGGAACUCAUCUCAAUUGCCAUUACCUUGCAAGCUUACAGGCAUUGCCCAGAAAAACAGAUUCGAAGGGUCUUGUUGGAGAUUUCGCAGACAAGAUAGAUGAGGUCCCAAAGUUUCUAAGGUUUUCAUCGGCAGACAUGGAACAUCUCGAAAAGCAUGUAUCAGAAUUCUUCAAUCAACUUCCUGAUGUACCAAUUGUGUGCAUUAGUAUGCUUGGAGGUGAUUUUGUGAAUGUUCUUGGGGAAGCACUUCUUCUCCCUUCCCUGUUUCCUGCUUGGAUGUUGCUCUCAAGGUUUGAUUCAACAAACAAGCCUACCACAAUGCUUCUACCAGUGGAUUCUAUUUCAAAAGAAGCACAUAAUGAAGACUCUUCUAUCAAAGAACUGGAUAAUCCAACUAGAGCUUCAGAUAAGAAUUGGAAGUGCCCUUGGAGCUGCACUAUUAUAGAUUACGUGGCUCCAACUUUCAGAAAGCUACUUGAGGAUAACUUUAGAUCCCUCUCUGGUGCAAUUGAUAUUCCAAAGGAUGGACAAGCAAAUACAGUAAGGUGGUGGUCGGAUAGAAUGAAGCUCAACAACGACCUUAAUGAGAUACUGGAGUAA
rnacentral:rRNA from 1 species